UACGAAGGGUGCAAACGUUGCUCGGAAUUAUUGGGCGUAAAGCGCGCGUAGGCGGCUUGGCAAGUCAGACGUGAAAUCCCUCGGCUUAACCGGGGAACUGCGUCUGAUACUGGAUGGCUUGAAUCCGGGAGAGGGAUGCGGAAUUCCAGGUGUAGCGGUGAAAUGCGUAGAUAUCUGGAGGAACACCGGUGGCGAAGGCGGCAUCCUGGACCGGCAUUGACGCUGAGGAGCGAAAGCGUGGGGAGCAAACAGG
rnacentral:rRNA from 1 species